rnacentral:tRNA from 3 species
CUCCUGCCGUAUGAAAGCAAUACUCUAACCACUGAGUUAAGUAGGU